rnacentral:lncRNA from 1 species
CACUGGAGCUCUGGGCUACCAUUGUCCCGCAGGGGCUAAGUAGAUGGGAGAACAAGGACAGACGGAUGGGAGCACAAGGACAGAGAGGGCCAGGAGUCAGAAGAGGGUCAAGCCCAAGAGGAAAGAUCAAGGCUGAAUCCCAAAGCCAGUGAUGAGAAUUUAGGAGAGAAAUAAAUCAGCAAGUUGGGGUCAGGAACUGAGAGUGAGCAUAGACAGGGGACUGGCUGGUUAGAAGAGGGCUUGAGAGCAAAAAGAGAGAGAGAGGCAGACAGACACACACUGGGAAGAGUGAUGGUGGGGACACCUGUCAGCAGCCCAGAAAAGAUUCUGCAAUUCAGGAUGGUGCAGCUUCAGCAUUCCUUAAUUCACAUGUGUUCUUCCAAGAAGUACUUCUGCCUUCAUUCUUAAAGGCUUAGAUGACAGCUUCACACAGCAUAAAGAUGGUAUUAGGCUUAUCCCUAUUUUUACAGAGAAGACAGCAACCAAGACUCACAGAGGUGAGGUGACUCGAUCUAGAGAGGAACAAAACUGAGAUUUGAACCUGGGUAUGCCACAAUCUGACAUUCAUUUUCUUGUUAGUACAUACCUUUACCUGGAACGGUUCUCAGAUCUACUCCAACUCAACAAAUUUCAGAAAAAUGAUUGUCCAAGGUUUAGAGACAGACAGGUCCUCUUGGAUCUUUUCUCUGGCAUCACUUUCCUCUUGUCUAAAUAUAAUGGACAGGGUAAGCGGAAAUAGUGGUUUACAACUCUUUAUGCCACAUGGCCCCCCUCAAGUUGCAAGUUACCAUCGGUGGAGAAAUCCCUAUUAGGAUUAGGGAGGGUUUAGGCAUGAAUAUGGACCAUUCUGGUGUUUCCUUUUUUCCUCAUUUCUUCUACCCUAACCUGUCCUUAUUCUUUACUCAUCUACCUCAAUGUAGAUUACUUUUGCUUAAUAAGCAUUUUGAGGAAAGUUAAUUCUUAACUGCUUCUGUUAAAUUAUUUCGAGGUCAGCUGAUGCACUGAAAGGGCACUGGGAGGAUUCCAGGACGUGGAUUCCAGACCUUGCAGAACUAACUAUGCAGCCUAAUCUAACUGCUCAGGACCUCAGUUUUCUUACCUGUUAAGGGGUUGAAUUGCAUGGUUUCUAGAAUCUCCUGAUUUUAAUGUUCCAUAGUUCUGACUUUGUUACUUAGUAAACAAAUAUUUCAAAUUUA